CGUAACCGCAUCGGACCAUCUGC
rnacentral:siRNA from 1 species